GCUAUACAGCUAGCCAAACCAAUAUCUUAACUUACAAAUAUAUAUACAUAUAACCUCACAAAUUCUUAAAAAUAUUAACCAAAUCAUUUGUACCCCCAGUAUAGGCGAUAGAAAAGGAAAUUUUGAGCAAUAGAAAACAGUACCGCAAGGGAAAGCUGAAAGAGAAAUGAAACAACCCAUUAAAGCACUAAAAAGCAGAGAUUAAAUCUCGUACCUUUUGCAUCAUGAUUUAGCCAGUCUAACCAGGCAAAGAGAACUUAAGUCUGCCUUCCCGAAACUAGACGAGCUACUCCGAGACAGUCUACCAGGACUAAUCCGUCUCUGUGGCAAAAGAGUGGAAAGAUCUCCGAGUAGCGGUGACAGACCUAACGAGUCUAGUGAUAGCUGGUUGCUUAGGAAACGAAUAUUAGUUCAGCCUCAAGACAUACUCUUAACCGCCCCAAGUACUUACUUCACCAAGGCACCCGACAAUCUUGAGAGUUACUCAAAGGAGGUACAGCUCCUCUGAGAAAGAACACAACCUUAAUAGAUGGAUAAAGAUCAUAACAUAACAGGACUUUCUGCUCCAGUAGGCUUAAAAGCAGCCACCUGCACAGAAAGCGUUAAAGCUCAGGCAAAAGUCAUCCAAUUAUAACGACAAACACAUCUGACUCCUCCUAAUUCUACUAAGCUACUCUAUUUUUAUAGAAGAAAUAAUGCUAAAAUCAGUAAUAAGAAGACACGACUUUCUCCAAGCAUAGGGUUAAGUCAGGUCGGACACACCACUGACAAAUAACGAACCCAACCAAAGAGGGCAAUAUUUAUAUAAUCCCAAAACAAGAAAAACUUAUUAAGUAUUAAUCGUUAACCUUACACAAGAAUGCACAUGGAAAGACUAAAAGAAAAAGAAGGAACUCGGCAACCCCGAGCCUCGCCUGUUUACCAAAAACAUCGCCUCUUGCAAACACCAAAGUAUUAGAGGUCCCGCCUGCCCUGUGACUUAGUUUAACGGCCGCGGUAUUUUGACCGUGCGAAGGUAGCGUAAUCACUUGUCUUUAAAUGAAGAACGGUAUGAAUGGCAUCACGAGGGCUCACCUGUCUCCUUUUUCCAGUCAAUGAAAUUGAUCUGCCCGUGCAGAAGCGGGCAUAUGAACAUAAGACGAGAAGACCCUAUGGAGCUUAAAACACAAGACCAACCACGCCAGUAACCCCAUUGCUCGAAAGACAUAAAAAAUACAAAGCACAGUGGUCUCUGGUCCUAAUGUUUUCGGUUGGGGCGACCACGGAGAAAAAUAAAACCUCCUCGUCGAUUGGAGACAACCUCUAAAACCAAGAGCAACAACUCUAAGUAACAGAAAAUCUGACGAUAAAUGAUCCAGACCUGUCUGAUCAACGAACCAAGUUACCCUAGGGAUAACAGCGCAAUCCUUUCCCAGAGUCCCUAUCGACGAAAGGGUUUACGACCUCGAUGUUGGAUCAGGACAUCCUAAUGGUGCAGCAGCUAUUAAGGGUUCGUUUGUUCAACGAUUAAAGUCCUACGUGAUCUGAGUUCAGACCGGAGUAAUCCAGGUCAGUUUCUAUCUAUGCAAUGACUCUUUCUAGUACGAAAGGACCGAAAGAAGGGGGCCUAUUCUUCAAGCACGCCCCAUCCUCAUCCACUGAACACAACUAAAAUGGAAAAGAGGACAUAUCAUAACAGCCCCAAAAAAGGGUACA
rnacentral:rRNA from 1 species